rnacentral:misc_RNA from 1 species
GAGCCCUGCCACCCAGUCUGUAAAUUGAUCAUUGAUUACUGACCAUCCCAAUUCUAACACAGCAACGUUGUUAAACUGACAUGACCCAUGCAAGCCAUAAUGAAGAACCUCAUCUCUUAAAUCAUAAUUUAAUGACAGGUUGGUUAACCAAGGAAAGCAAACAGGCAUGUUGUCCAGAUCAACAACCUCAUCUUCAUCAUCAAAUACUACUCCCCAGAGCCGAAGCCUCACCAACUUUGAUGAUUUUGAUAUCAUAUUGUAGAACUUUGGCCCUGUGAUGGUGAAGUUGCUAACAUC